UACGGCUCAGUAACACGUGGAUAAUCUGCCCUUGGGUCCGGGAUAACCCCGGGAAACUGGGACUAAUACCGGAUAGGUCAUAGACGCUGGAAUGCCCUAUGACCCAAAGUUGCGGUGCCCAAGGAUGAGUCUACGGCCUAUCAGGUUGUAGUGGGUGUAAUGUACCUACUAGCCAGCGACGGGUACGGGUUGUGAGAGCAAGAGCCCGGAGAUGGAUUCUGAGACAUGAAUCCAGGCCCUACGGGGUGCAGCAGGCGCGAAACCUUUACACUGCGGGAAACCGCGAUAAGGGGACUCCGAGUGCCAGCACCUAGUGCUGGCUGUCCCGCUGUCUAAAUAGCAGCGGUUAGCAAGGGCCGGGCAAGACCGGUGCCAGCCGCCGCGGUAACACCGGCGGCCCGAGUGGUAGCCGCUAUUAUUGGGUUUAAAGGGUCCGUAGCCGGCUCUGUAAGUCUCUUGGGAAAUCUGGCGGCUUAACCGUCAGGCUUCUUAGAGAUACUGCUGGGCUCGGGACCGGGAGAGGUGGGAGGUACUCCAGGGGUAGGGGUGAAAUCUUGUAAUCCUUGGGGGACCACCGAUGGCGAAGGCAUCCCACCAGAACGGGUCCGACGGUGAGGGACGAAAGCUGGGGGCACGAACCGGAUUAGAUACCCGGGUAGUCCCAGCCGUAAACUAUGCUCGCUAGGUGUCAGGCACGGUGCGUCCGUUCUUGGUGCCGCAGGGAAACUGUGAAGCGAGUCACCUGGGAAGUACGGCCGCAAGACUGAAACUUAAAGGAAUUGGCGGGGGAGCACA
rnacentral:rRNA from 1 species